GGAUGUGAGUGUGAUCUGGCUGCGACAUCUGUCACCCCAUUGAUUGUCAGAGUUGAUUGGCUGAUCUGGCUGGCUAGGCGGGUGUCCCCUUCCUCCUUCAUGGCUCUAUGUGCGUCCCUCCCAAAGCUGCGUGCUCAGUCGAAGAGGACGGCCUUCCCCGAAUAGAGACGGACUGGUCUUCGGUUGAGGGUGUAUGAGUAGCUGAGCUCCCCUGCUAGGACCUCAAAACAAGCUUUCAAGGUCAUUGAUAGGUGAUGCUGGGUCUACUGCUUGAACUGCAAUAAUGAACCCUCCACCAGGAAAGGCGGGGCUUCUU
ensembl:misc_RNA 7SK 7SK RNA